ensembl:lncRNA
CCUCGUCCCAGCGGGCCGCAUCCCCGCACUCCGGCCUCUGCACUGUGCGGACAACCAGAGGCCGCAGGACCCGGGCGAGGUGAGCCCGGGUCUGCACUCCAGCUGGACGCUGGGAAGAAAUGAUUUGAACCAAUGCUGGUUCCUGCUAGGAAAGAACCGAUGCAUGAAAACGGGCCCAAGGAAUACGUGGCAGUGAUCACACGCCAGACCCGCAACUGAGGAUUUAAAGGGACUCGCUUACUAUUCCCGACGGCCCAAUGAGGUAGGGUCUAUCCCCACUCCCAUUUGAUAGAUGGGGAAACUGAGGCACAGAAUGGUUAACCAACUUGCCCAAAACAAUGGAGAGGCAGGAUUCGAACUCAGGCAGUGCUGGCCCCAGCGGGCACAGUCUUAAACACCACACCAAACAGGAUGCUCUAUAGACCGCUUCAUUCACUGACGGAAAGGAGAAAAGCAGAGGCUUCAAAAGAUGGACUGGACCAUGCAGGUCCACACUGCUGGCGAGGAGUACAGUCGGGACUGAAAUCCAGGUCUUUCUGAUUCUGAAGCUCAGGGUCGUUUGAACAGGACAUGCUGCUUCUCUUAAGAAGCGUUUCGACUAUUAACACCUGUUGUUACUCUUCUGUCCCCGUGGCGGGUAGAGUAACAUGUUCCCAGAGUACUUAUGUCCUUCUGGGUCCUGACAAUUAGCAUCCAACUGGAAGUUCAUCAAAAGACUAAGCGAAGCCCGCUUUGGACGUGGCAGUCUACACAAUCAACACAACAUCGGGGAGGGUCCCAGUGGGUCCCCCUCCGAGGGUGGCGUGGCACAUCUCAGGCCGCUCCCCGCCAGGUUGAAGAGGACAGGUCCCACAGGCUGCCUUCUCCAUGUGGUGCUCCAUCCUCUGCUGUUGAAACGUGAACCCACCUGCUGAGACUCGUCUCCUGGGGCUUUUCUGUCCUUCACAUCUUUUCGUGACUGUGGGUCUUAACUGGACCCGUGAGAUGCUACAUUCUAUUGGUCAUCUCCGUCUGUCCCGCCAGCAGGAGCCCUGGGUGUCCCCCACCUCGCACACACUAGGAGGAGUGCUCACCCGCCUUCGGAUGGUCAAGUGCCGUCACCUGGCCUCUGGGGUUUGGGCUCCUAUCAUCCCCACUGCUAUGGGAGAGCCAUGUGCACAUGCGUGUCUGUGUGAGCGUGCAUGCAUGUGCAUGUGCGUGUGCUGAUAAACUGGAGGAAAGUCCCGUGCAUGUCUGUGUGUGCGACAAUCAUGAGAAUCCUUCCACUACUGGGGGGGCCUGUGUUGUGUGUCACGGUCCCCGUGGGAUGAAGGGGAGCUGUCUCUCUGUGCCUGUGUCUCUUUAAGUGGCAGUACACAGCAGGUGCUCCAUAAAUGCUUAUGGAAUGAAGAAGUGAAUAUAUGGAAACUGGGCUGGAGCAGGUGUCUGAGGACCUGGUCCCGCAUCAUGCUUUCUCCAGAUGUCUGUCUGUCUCUCUGUCCGUGCCCCCUAGCCUGUGGUCCCCUGCUCAUCCCAGCGCAGGGCCGGGCUCUGAGUGGGGCUCACGGAAUCACUGGUGCACGAGGCAAUGAGCGAACAGAGACUCUAGUCUGGGGCGUGGAGGGGAGAGAUCCCCCCAGAGGAAACCCCCCAGGGCCUGCCCUCUGACCCAGGUCCAAGGUGGUGUCUGUGCUGAGCUCUGGGUGUGGGGGCAGGGCAUGGGCUUUGGGGCCAGGCCCAAUCCCGACCUCGGGGAAGUGGCCUCCCCUCACUGGGCCCCGGGGAGCCUCUCUGUAAAAUGGGAAGCCCGGUCCCACUGACUGCUCCAGUCUGCAUGGCCCAUGGUAGGUACUCAGUGGAUGUUUGUUGAAUGACUAAAUGACUGAAUGUAGAUCUAUACUAGCUUUUCCUAACAUCGGCACUGCCUGCAGAGGAGAGCCAACACUGAGCUUCCUCAUGGUGCUGGUGCCCUCUCCCCUGCUGGACUUGAGGUGUCCACCUGGCCCUGGGGGGUUUUCUGGCCUUACUUAGUAUACCCCCUCAAGCCCACCCACCUCUCUGAGUCCUUUCAUCCCUCUUUCACUGUCCGCCACGGGAACUCCAGCAUCCCAGCCUCCCCAGCACGGGCAUUCCCACGCUUGCAGGAGUCAGGCUGGUGGUGAGUUUGCACCACCUCCUGGUGCCCUUGCCCGGGUGUGAAGUCCUGUAGCCCACAAGAGUGACCCCGAAUGCACAGACUCUCCUUUAUGCAGCCUUACCUGCUGCUCCCCUUGCUCAAACGUGCUCAGCAUCCCAUCCCAUGUGUCUCAGCUCCUGCGCGUCGGUGCUGGCUGGGUCCUGCAGCGCCAUCGGGGUCUAAUUCCUUUCUUCCCUUAUCAGCCCCAGCACGUCCCCAGCUGGCCUAUGACGUAAUUUCACCCUAGCCACAGGCCUAGUGGCAAGGAGGGGUGGAGGAGCAGGUCCUGACGGGGCCCACGUGACCACCUCCUCAUCCUCAAGCAGGGGGGCUGCCAUUUCUCCCUAGGAAGGAGCAGAACCUUCUGCAGCCUCGGAGAGUCCAGAGGAAUCUGGAGAUCCAAGGUUUUCACGGGCAUCGGCUUGGAUGUCCCCAGCCCAUGUGACAAGGUCUCAUUCUUUCCCAAGCGGAGUGCGUCUUGGCAAAGCAGACCUGCCUCGGUUGGGAGUUUAACCAUCCUUGGAGCUCGUCUGGUCUGACUGUUAAGUCCUGGGUCCCGUCCUCAGUUUCCCCUCCCUCCCACUACAGCUGGGCCCUCCUUAUAUACUACUGGCUUUCACACUUAGUUUUCAAUGAGCAAUUAAUUUCUCUCUGAUUUUUAUUAUCUUUUUCCAAAGCAUCCUUUGAGCUUAGCAAUAGCCACCCAAUUCCAUUGUCCAUUAUUUCUCCCAUUUUCUCAAAUGCUUGAUGGGGCACACCAGCCAGUGCAUUUCUUUCCCCUGGUUUACCCUCCCAAUUCACCUGUUGGAGCUUUGAAUGCUGGGCCCCCUUCUGCACACCAGCGGCUAUGUGUGUUCCACCUAUUUCCACCUAUGACCACGGCCAGCCAGGCAAGGCGUGGUCCAGCUGCCACCUCCCAUCUUAGUGCCUGCUUCCUCCAGCCACACCCGGGACCAACAGGUGCACAUUGGGUUCUCCGGGAAACAGACUCUGAGAUAGAAUUUAAUGAACAGAUGUUUAUUAAGGAGCGCCCUUGCCACUGUGGAAGGAUGGAGAAGGAAUCAGGAUUAGGCAGAGGAAAAUGUGUAGUUCUGAUGAAGACCCGAAGACAGCCUGGGCCAACCCACUGUGACCUCUGGAGCCAGGCUGAAGACAAGAUGGCCAGGGCUUCGUACCCCUGUGUCAACCAGUCAUUGGAUGUGGGCACCCUGGGUGGGGCAUGACAUCAGGUGAGGCAGCUAUCUGUGGCUGAGGCACCCCUGAAGGGGCUGGCGGCUGAGGACUGCGCCCCUAGCAGCUGAGUCAAGGAGUCCUUCAAUGCAGGAGGAUCUAGACAGCAUGUGACAGUAUCCACUACAGACUCCCUGGCCCAGGGCAUCCAUGACCACGACUCUGGACCAUGGUCUGCAGCAUCGCUGCCGCCCAGAGAUCUGCGGGUGGAUGCAGAGCCCUAUCCUCACCCCCGCAUCCACUGACCAAGGCUGUGGGCAAAGGUGACUCUGAGUUGAGCGGGAAGCUCACUGGCGCCGCAUUUCACGUCCUCAUCCCCACAGUGUCUCACGGAUCUGAUCUGCUGUCUGGAAAAAUCUGCCAAAUAUACUGACAUUGAGAAGCGGGUGGAGCAGGUGUCAGAGGCAGCCCUGGGCCGCGCGGAGGGCCAGGUCCCCUCCUGCGAUUUUGACAGUAAGCCCUGCUCCCCAACCUUGGAGGCUGGCAUUACCCUCAACAUCACUUGGUCAAGCUCGUUUCCUGGCACAACAAGGCAUUUGGCCGCAGCAACCACAUGGCAGACCUCAUGGUCUACGCAGACUGCCAGGAGUCAGAGCCUUGACCUCUAAUGCCAGCAACAGCCUUUCACCUUUGUGGAGUCCCUGCCACGCCACCAUCCCCAACACACUGAGACUCUCCCAUCCUCUCCCCAGGGCUUCUCAGCUGGGGGUGGUUUUGCCCCCUAAGGACAUCUGGCAACGUCUGGAGCCAUUUUGGGUCGUCAGGACUGGGGUGGGGGGAUGCGCUGGCAUCCAGCGGGUCGAGGCCGGGGAUGCUGCUCAACAAGGCACAGGACAGCCCCUCCUCCCCAACUAAACAUUACCUGGCCCCAAAUGUGCUGAGGUUGACAAACUGUCUCCCGCACAGUUCCCACCCCAGGCUCCCGAGGACGGGGAGGGCCGUGGGCUCCUGUCACACUCCACCAGUACCAUCAUAAAGUCUCCGCCAGGCAAUCGGGGGCAGCAUGGGGGAGGAAGGAUGUGGGUAUUAGUCUGGGAGUCACAGCAGAAAAGAUAUUCUCACGUCGGUUCAUGCCAGCAGAGUUUAUUAAAGAGACUGUCUACAAUCAUGGACAGAGGUUAGGAAAACCAACAAGGACAGUGUAGACCGCAGAGGCUGGUGGCUCCCAGCUCUGGCCAGAUGCAGGAGGCGUCGUGUGCCAGGACGGCUACCCGGAGGGCUGGCUGACCGCAGCUGACCCAAGGUAACGUGGAUGGAGGGAGGCUGGAAAUAUUACCCCAACUUCUUUCUCCCCUGCCCUCUGGGCUCCUGCAGCGGCUCCCUUUAUCUGAGCCCAGCCAAAGUCAGAUACUAAGGGCGCCCGCUGGUCCAAUCCACGUGGGACCACAUGGACCAGACUCCUGGGGGGAAAAGCAGAAAUAGAAUACACAAGUAACACAAAUUCAUCGCGGACAAGCUAAAGAAACCCGUCAUGAUCACCCAGAGAAUCCACCUCAUUAACCCCAGGCAACCCUGUUACCAAUAACUUCGCCUUCUAGACUUUCUUCAAGGCAGAGACGCAUCUUCCAAAAGGGAACACGCAUGGUCUUCCAAAAGGGACCUAUUCCGCUUAAUAUACUGUGAAUGUCUUUCCACGUCAACGUUCUUCCAGGCCCAAGACUAGUUAAAGUGUCUUAAAAUAACCUACUAAAAAUGCUCUCAAGAUGGUACAUUCGACUUCUUUUUUUUUUUCUUCUGCUUUUAUCUCCCCAAAUCCCCCCUGUACAUAGUUGUAUAUCUUAGUUGCAGGUCCUUCUAGUUGCGGCAUGUGGGACGCUGCCCCAGCGUGGCCUGAUGAGCGGUGCCAUAUCCGCACCCAGGAUCCGAACCAGUGAAACCCUGGGCCGCUGCAGCGGAGCGCGCAAACUUAAACACUCGGCCACGGGGCCAGCCCCAUUUGACUUCUUGUCCAGGAAAAAAUGUCAAAUGUCUUACACACAUGUACAGGAAUACACGCCCAGAAUUACAUGUGGGCUACAAGAAAUACCAUAUAGUACAAACGCCUUCAAACCCUUUGCUCUCCCCGAGAUGUGAUCAAUAUUCUGAAUUUUCUUUAAUCAGUCAUUAUUCUGAAUUUUCCAUUAAUCAUUCUCUUUUCUUUCAGGUUUAUCAUAUAUAUAGGUAUCCUGUGAUAAAAUACUACUUAGUUUGUCUAUUUUAAACUUCGAAUAUAAAUGGAAUCAUAGUAUAUGUAUUAUUCUCUGAUUUGCUCUUCUCUCACUCAGUGUAACAGUUUGACGUUGGUGCACGUCCUCGUGGUUUAUAAGUUGGCACGCUGUGCGGUACUCAGUAGGAAAAUGCUGCAUUUAUCCAUUCUACCGCGAGGGGCACAUUUCUGUGUGUUAUUACCAAGAACGCUAUGAUGAACAUCGGUGUACACACCCCCCGUCAUACUUGUGUAAAAGUCUCUCUGAGAAGACACACACAACUAGGAGUGGAAACCACAGGUUGUAGCAUAUGCAUGAUGUUCACACUUUCUAGAAAAUACCAAAUGGUUUUCAAAAGGGCGGUGGCAAUGUGCACAGCUCCCAGCAAAGAGAGUACAAGCCACUCCACAUUUUCACCAGCACUUGCAAACGAUCAGAGUUUUCAUUUAAAAUUUCUGUCUUUCUGCAAUGGAAAUUAGCAAUUUGCAGUUCCCUGCUUACUAAUAACGUUGUGCAUUUUUUCAUGUUUCUGGGCCCCUGACAUUUCCUUUUCUGUGAAUCGUCUUUUGCCUUCAGCCCACUUUUCCAUUGGCUUAGCUGACUUUUUAUUGAUGUGGGAGUUCCUCAUAUGUCAUCCACACUAGUCCUUCGGUCCUACAUAUUGCAGAUAUCUUCCCCUUGCUCCACGGCGUCUGAACUCUGUGUGUCUUUAAACGAACAAGAGUUAAAUACUCAUAAUCGAUCAAGACUUCUUUCUCGUUUUCAAUUUUUCUCUGUCCCAGUUUGGAAGUUAUUCACGAUUUCUAUCCUUUUAGUGAUUGCCCUGGCAUUUUCCACUUGCCAUUGUUUCUUAAAGCCUAAAAUGAUUCUAGAUGUUACCCAGUUGACAUUUUUUAAAAAGACUUGUCAGGCAGCCUGAACCAAGACAAUAAGAAGACGCCUUGCUGUUUUCGCGGUUUCUAUAACUCACAUUCGUUACCGGUGCUCCCGGCAGUGUUGAUCUCUGGCGAAGAGGCUAAGAGCUUAAACCUUCAAUUCUCAAGUUUGAUGAGGAGCCUUGAGACUCCUUCCCAGCGAACUGCUCGGAGCAACACUAAGAGGCCAGUGAGGGCUGCACGCCAGGCCCUUGCAUCUGUGACUCCAUCUUCCGGGCCCGGCCGAUAGCAAGCUCACCUGAUGAGUAUGGAAAGGGGACCCCACAGAAACAGCAACGGAAAGUUCAAGAGCUGGAUGGCUCAGGACUGAAGCGGUAAGGCCAGCUGAUCCUCUGCUAGCCGGAGGGGACACAGAACCUGCUUCUCCUGGAAGAGGCACGACCGUCCAAAAGCAGCGCGAUCAGAACUUCCUUCUGCGCCAGAGACCCGAGCACGAAGCUGACUGUCGAACCACGAGCACAUCCCUGCGACAGGUGGUUCAAGGUUCAAGGUAGGGCGGGUGCAGAUCUGCGCUUUGAAGCACAUUUCAGCUACGUAAACUGAGAAGCAGCAUUUUGUUGCUCAGGACCUGCACCCGCACCCACGGAAGGGCACGUUUCAGAAUCAUCAGCCGGGGCGGCACCUCGGGUCCUUCCCCCUCCAGGAGGCUCCCAGCCCGGCGUUGCGCUCCUGAGAAUGGGGAGCAGGUCCUGCCAGUGGGUGGGCUUGCAGACGAGACGGGACUCCAGAACCCGGAGCUGUGAGUUGACAAUAUACUGCUGUGGAUCCACAAACAGUUCCAAAUAUUAAUAAGAAUAAAAGGGGGUCUGCAUCGAGGGAAUACUGUCACACAGCAUUCCGAGCACUGUGUAUGUUCCAACUGAUUAAACCCUCAGAAAAUCUAUGAUAGAUUUGGGAUGUGUGUGUCCAUUAUCCCACUGCAGAGAUGAGGCGACACAGGCACUGAGAGGUUGAGGAGCCCACCCACGGCCACCCCGGGAGGUAGCCGGGGAGCCCAGCUCAGCUCCCAGACAAGCUGACUUCACCACCCUCUACCACUCAGCACCUUCUAGCCAAGAAAGACGUGUUUUCUGACCAUCAAAUCGACACUGUGUCUAUACACCAAAGGGUAAGUGAAGAACUGGGCAUUUUACUCAGAAACAAGGUUAAAGAAUAAAAGUAAAAAUGUAAAAACCAGUUAUUUGGGGCGUCCAUGUUAGGCAAAAUGUCUCCUUGCCACUAUUAUUUGCCUCAGUCUCCCAUUUUGCCUGUUACAUAUCCGAUAAUAGGAGCCACUAAAUAAAUGCCCCCUGGUGGACUUUAUUGAUUAAGUGCACUUCCGAAGCUGCGUCUGUGAGCGCAAAGUCAAGGUUCAGGGGUUUAUUUGGUUAAUCUGAUCCCUGGACACAGCCAGCCUGAAUAAUUCGGACUGAAAACCUUUUUUUCGAUCUCCAGCAUCCAGACUGGUAAACAGGGGCCGGGAAGAGAAAGCUGUGGAGCUGUUAGAUUCCCCUCCUUGAAUUCAACACGUGGCUCCUGCCCCGGGAAAGCAGAAGGGGCUCCCGGACCAGGGAAGGCACGGUUUACAAUGGGAGAGUAACACCGUCACCCAUAAGGUGAUGUGGGCACAACCAUGGGACAGGCAGUGGGAGCAUUUCCUUUCUGCCCUCCACGCACAGCCUGAGUCCCUCACACUUAGCCUCAGUCAGAAACUUGGAGGAUGUUUUCGGCUGGAAUGGUCCUUCAAGACCAUGGAAUUCCUCUCUCAACUUAGGGAUGACUAAACUGAGGACCAAAGAGGAUGCCCAAAGUGACCGUGCUGGGAAUAGGGUCUCCAGCACUUUUCCCCUCCUUCCGGGUGCCCAGGAGUGACAUGUCUGCGGCCGUCAGGAGCAGCUCUCGGGAACGGAACGCAGCAGAGCGACAGCUCCAUUACGGAGCUGCCGUGGGGCGGACCACCCGCUCCAUAGCUGGGUCUCCUGUCAACGAUUUGGUUAAACGGUUUUCAAAUGGGCAAACACAAAUACGUUGCAGGGAAACUGGUUGGCUAUACAGAUCCAUUGCCACUUCCUUCCUUCCUGAACGAGCAAAAGACAGGUGGUACUUCUGGCUCAAGGACAGGAAACGCCCACCACGCCCUCCACCUGUGGACCCACAGACAGACAGUUCUGCUCAGGCGGUUGUGGCGCUGGGACCACCACCUCCUUGGGUCUCUGGCUUAAAGGGACACGUACCAUGGGGUCUCUCAGCACGUCUGUGUGGGAGCAGGUAAAGAGAGUGAGGGGUCUUAACUUCUGGGAAGAACUCCAAGGUCGCCCCAGGAGUACGCUGGGGAGCGUGGCGUAGCUCCUAGACAAACUG